rnacentral:rRNA from 1 species
AUGAAGGGAUGGGGCGCCAAUCUGGGGCGUGAUCUCCGCGAACGCAAGAAGGCCCUGUUGACCGGCAUCCAGGCCCUGGACCUACGUGCGGACGCGACCGGCCUCUUCCCCGAGGAGUGGCUUUCCCGAUACGACUUGGGAGACCAACUCUCUGGCAUCUACACCGACGAGGAGGCCUAUUGGCGACUGCGUGGCUCCCAGAAAUGGGUAUUGAAUGGCGACGCGAACUACUUUCAGGCCAUUGCGAAUGGCUGCCGUAGACGCAACACCAUCCCCCUUCUCUGGGAUGGCGCGGCCCUUCUGCAAUCCCCGGGUGACAUUCGGGCCCAUGUCGACGGGUUCUACAGAUCCCUAUUCUCCUCCGCUCCUAGGAGCGGCCUAUCUCUGGCCCAUGAUUGUUGGACCGGCCACCAGCUAGUUUCUGCUGCGGAGAACGCGGCCCUUACGGCCCCCUUCUCCGAGGGCGAGGUCUGGGCUGCCAUUAGAGGCAUGAACCCUACCGCGGCCCCGGGCCCGGAUGGCCUCCCAGUAAAAUUCUUCCAGGCCUUCUGGAAUGUGAUUAAGCCUGAGAUCAUGGCCAUCUUCGACGAGUUCUACGUUGGGUCCAUCGACCUCGGGCGCCUCAACUAUGGGAUCAUUUCGCUCAUCCUCAAAGUGCCUGGGGCUUCCGACAUCCGCCAGUUCCGAUCGAUC